UCACAAAUCCAAGUUUGAUCUCCCAACACUGCAGCCUUUAGAGUAGAGACUGGUUCCAUGGAAAUGCCAGGCACACAUCCUGGGGACUCCUGCUACACCCUGACCCCUCAGAUCUGUGCUGGAAGCUGCACUCACAUUAGUGAAGCCUCCUGGACUGCUGUCUGGUACUGGGCAUCCUCUGGUGGUGCUGUGCAGGCUGGCAGCAGGGCCAGGCCUUCCCACCCAGGCUUCUGCUUCCUCUUCUGUGGAACAGGGUAGAUGGAGGGUGGCUGGAAGGAUUUGAGUCAGGAGUAGAGCUCAGGCUGGGGCUACUAUGCCCACAGAGUCCUACCAACAGGUUGAUGCAGAGACCGUGGUGGGCCUGGCCCGGGACCUGGAACCACUGAAGCGGACAGAGGAAGAGCCACUGGAAGAGCCACUGGAUGAGGCCCUAGUGCGGACAGUCGCCCUAAGCAGUGCAGGUGUCUUGAGCCCUAUGGUGGCCAUGCUGGGUGCAGUAGCUGCCCAGGAAGUGCUGAAGGUGGGCAGAGGCAUAGGUGUGGGGGGUACUGGGAAGAUGUGGAGAUCAGUGUGUGUGUCAGAGGGCACCCAGCGCUAGAGAGCAGCCCUGGAGCCUUCACCAACCUGGGUGAAGCCUCCAGCCAGGAUCUGAGGGGGGUCAGGAGGUGGCAGGAGUGCCCAGCCUGAAGUGCUGCCCCUAGGCAAUCUCCAGGAAGUUCAUGCCUCUGGACCAGUGGCUUUACUUUGAUGCCCUCGAUUGUCUUCCGGAAGAUGGGGAGCUCCUUCCCAGUCCUGAGGACUGUGCCCCGAGAGGCAGCCGCUAUGAUGGGCAAAUUGCAGUGUUUGGGGCUGGUUUUCAGGAGAAACUGAGACGCCAGCACUACCUCCUGGUGAGCUGUGGGGUGACACUGGGGGUGCCUUUGGGAGAGCCAGCCCAGCCCCUCUGGCUAAGGCUGUUCCUGCCAACAGGUGGGCGCUGGUGCCAUUGGUUGUGAGCUGCUCAAAAUCUUUGCCCUAGUGGGACUGGGGGCCGGGAACAGCGGGGGCUUGACUGUUGUUGACAUGGACCACAUAGAGCGCUCCAAUCUCAGCCGUCAGUUCCUCUUCAGGUCCCAG
rnacentral:sRNA from 1 species